rnacentral:rRNA from 1 species
GACGAACGCUGGCGGCGUGGAUUAGGCAUGCAAGUCGAACGGUAUCAUCCUUUCGGGGGUGAGAGAGUGGCGAACUGGUGAGUAACACGUAGGUUAUCUACCCUCAAGACGGGGACAACCCAGGGAAACUUGGGCUAAUACCGGAUGUGAGCAACUUUUAGUUGUUUGAAAGGUGGCGUAAGCUGUCGCUUGGGGAUGAGCCUGCGUCCUAUUAGUUAGUUGGUGAGGUAACGGCUCACCUAGGCAAUGAUAGGUAGGCGGCCUUAACGGGUGGUCGCCCACACUGGGAUUGAGAUACGGCCCAGACCCCUACGGGAGGCAGCAGUCGAGAAUAGUCUACAAUGGUCGGAAGACUGAUAGUGCGACGCCGCGUGAACGAUGAAUCCCUUCGGGGUGUAAAGUUCUUUUAUAUGUGAGCAGUGCUUCUUAUAUUAACAGUAUGGGGAAGAGAUAUUAGCAUAUGAAUAAGCAACGGCUAACUCCGUGCCAGCAGCCGCGGUAAUCUCG